rnacentral:rRNA from 1 species
UACGGAGGGAGCUAGCGUUGUUCGGAAUUACUGGGCGUAAAGCGCGCGUAGGCGGCUUUGUAAGUUAGAGGUGAAAGCCCGGGGCUCAACCCCGGAACAGCCUUUAAGACUGCAUCGCUAGAAUCCGGGAGAGGUGAGUGGAAUUCCGAGUGCAGAGGUGAAAUUCGUAGAUAUUCGGAAGAACACCAGUGGCGAAGGCGGCUCACUGGACCGGUAUUGACGCUGAGGUGCGAAAGCGUGGGGAGCAAACAGG